GGCGAGCUGCUAGUGCCCCACAUGCCCACGAUCCGCGUGCCCAGGUCCGGCGACAGGGUCUACAAGAACGAGUGCGCCUUCUCCUACGACUCUCCCAAUUCUGAAGGUGGACUCUAUGUAUGCAUGAAUACAUUUUUGGCCUUUGGAAGGGAACAUGUUGAAAGACAUUUUCGAAAAACUGGACAGAGUGUAUACAUGCACCUGAAAAGACAUGUGCGAGAGAUCUAGAUACUGAUGACGAUUUAAAUAGCGACGAUUAUGAAUAUGAAGAUGAAGCCAAACUUGUUAUAUUCCCAGAUCACUAUGAAAUAGCACUACCAAAUAUUGAGGAGUUACCAGCCCUGGUAACAAUUGCUUGUGAUGCAGUUCUCAGCUCAAAAUCUCCAUACAGAAAGCAGGACCCAGACACGUGGGAAAAUGAAUUGCCAGUAUCUAAAUAUGCCAACAACCUCACCCAGCUGGACAAUGGAGUCAGGAUUCCUCCAAGUGGUUGGAAGUGUGCCAGAUGC
rnacentral:lncRNA from 1 species